UAGGGAAUAUUAGAAAUGGACGAAAGUCUGAUCUAGCAACACCGCGUGUGCGAAGAAGGCCUUCGGGUCGUAAAGCACUUUUUGGAAGGAGUAGGAAGGAAUGUACUUCCAGAAUAAGUCUCGGCUAACUACGUGCCAGCAGCCGCGGUAACACGUAGGAGGCGAACGUUAUCCAGAUUUACUGGGCGUAAAGCGCGUGUAGGUGGUACUGUAAGUAGGGCGUGAAAGCUCCUGGCUCAACUGGGAGAGGCCGUUCUAAACUACAGAACUAGAGGAUGGUAGAGGGAGGUGGAAUUCCAGGUGUAGCGGUGGAAUGCGCAGAUAUCUGGAGGAACACCGGUGGCGAAGGCGGCCUCCUGGACCAUUCCUGACACUCAGACGCGAAAGCUAGGGUAGCAAACGG
rnacentral:rRNA from 1 species